CGCUCACGUGACGUGGAGCUGCAGAGCGACGCAGCCUUCGGUGCAGUCGUCACUCCCGUCUGGGUACCUGCUCCCCGGUGUCCUGCGCCCCGCGGGCUGGCGUCAGGCCCGAGGAAAGCGGAGCAGGUCUUCUCGUAGGCCUACAGUAGGGCUGUUUACCACUGGAAGCCAGGGAAAGGGGAAGACUGGCUUGGAACCAUGAAGGUUGGUUUGAAGGUGGGCAGCACUUGAGGAUAACAAGAGGAUCUGCCUGCAGGUCUGCUGUAGGGCUUGAGAUUACUGGAAGCAAAGAAACAAGGACGAAAUUGCCCCUGAUCAGUAUAGACUGGUAAGAGGAUGGGAACUGCCUGGGUAGAGCCGUAGGGUGGGU
rnacentral:lncRNA from 1 species